rnacentral:rRNA from 1 species
AAUCAACGCUGGCGGCGUGCCUCAGACAUGCAAGUCGAACGAUUAAAGCUCUCUUCGGAGAGUGCAUAGAGUGGCGCACGGGUGAGUAACACGUAAGUAAUCUACCCUCGAGUGGGGAAUAACGUCCGGAAACGGACGCUAAUACCGCAUAAUGCAGCGGCACCGCAAGGUGACAGUUGUUAAAGAUUUAUCGCUUGAGGAGGAGCUUGCGGCAGAUUAGCUAGUUGGUAAGGUAAUGGCUUACCAAGGCUACGAUCUGUAACCGGUCUUAGAGGACGGUCGGUCACACUGACACUGAAUAACGGGUCAGACUCCUACGGGAGGCAGCAGUCGGGAAUUUUGGGCAAUGGGCGAAAGCCUGAAGCAGCAACGCCGUGUGAAGGAUGAAGUAUUUCGGUAUGUAAACUUCGAAAGAAUAGGAAGAAUUAAUGACGGUACUAUUUAUAAGGUCCGGCUAACUACGUGCCAGCAGCCGCGGUAA